AUUUCCUUGGGCGAUGCUGAUACACGACAGGUGAUUCUCAUUCCCUCUAUUUAGCAGGUGGGGGCUGUGCUGUGGGUGUUUUCCUGCUGUAGCCUCACCUUGCUGCUGAGCACAGAGUAGGAGCCUGCUGGGUGCCAGUGAAUGACCAGCAGCUCUGUCACUACAGGAAGGUCUAUAAAGCUUGCAGAAUACACAAAAGCCAAACUCAGAACCACUCGGAAUAGGAAGAUUCAGCUGCUGGUUGCUUCUCUGCAUAGAACAAAGAAUUUCAUGUCUUUGGAUUUCUGUUUUUUUACACUCGUGGACUCAUGGACACGCAGCACUAAGCAGUGCAUUGCCUGGCACCCACUGGAUGUCUCACAGCAGCGAUGGUGCAGCAUUUGAAUGCUCUACAGCAUGUUUGCACUGACUUUAUUUUUUUCUGUCUUAGGCAUGUAAACUGGCUCCCGUGUUUACUUAAACAUCAUAAAUACGUUGGGGCCAAAGUGGUUUUGUUCUGUUUCUUCCCAUGGGAUGUAUCCAAUUCAGGAUAUUAUUUUCAGAUAAUGGCUUAAAUGGGAAUAUGCGUGUUCACAUACUGCUAACAUGACUGCCAUAAUAAUAUGAUCUCUUUUAGGAAAUUAUGCAUGCAGAAUCAGCACAUUGAUAAGUGCUGUAUAAAGCUAAAAUUCAGAAGUGACAGUUAAUGACUUAUCUGUCGAAGGUAGCCAACUGUCCUAAGGAAAAAUAAUUGUUUCAAUUAAAAAAAAAAAGGAAAAAAAAAAGAAAGAAAAAAGAAGUCAGCUUUAUUUUUAUUCUUCCAGCAGCUAUAACAGUAUUUGUCUUUACCUUUAUUAUUGGCAGGCUACUACCCUUCAACUAAAACCUUACCCUAUCAUUACAAGAAUAAAGUUUAUUUGUUAUU
ensembl:lncRNA